rnacentral:rRNA from 1 species
AUACGGAGGGGACUAGCGUUGUUCGGAAUUACUGGGCGUAAAGAGUACGUAGGUGGUUCGUUAAGUCAGAUGUGAAAGCCCAGGGCUCAACCUUGGAACUGCAUUUGAAACUGGCAAACUAGAGUAUGGUAGAGGGGGGUAGAAUUCAUAGUGUAGCGGUGAAAUGCGUAGAUAUUAUGAGGAAUACCAGUGGCGAAGGCGGCCCCCUGGACCAAUACUGACACUGAGGUACGAAAGCGUGGGUAGCGAACAGAAUUAGAAACCCUAGUAGUCC